AACGAACGCUGGCGGCAUGCCUAACACAUGCAAGUCGAACGAGACCUUCGGGUCUAGUGGCGCACGGGUGCGUAACGCGUGGGAACCUGCCCUUAGGUUCGGAAUAACUCCCCGAAAGGGGUGCUAAUACCGGCUAAUGUCUUCGGACCAAAGAUUUAUCGCCUUUGGAUGGGCCCGCGUUGGAUUAGCUAGUUGGUAGGGUAAAUGCCUACCAAGGCGACGAUCCAUAGCUGGUCUGAGAGGAUGAUCAACCACACUGGGACUGAGACACGGCCCAGACUCCUACGGGAGGCAGCAGUGGGGAAUAUUGGACAAUGGGCGAAAGCCUGAUCCAGCAAUGCCGCGUGAGUGAUGAAGGCCUUAGGGUUGUAAAGCUCUUUUACCCGGGAUGAUAAUGACAGUACCGGGAGAAUAAGCUCCGGCUAACUCCGUG
rnacentral:rRNA from 1 species